AAUUAUUUCUCAACGUUAAGAGUCGACCAGCUGGACUUGAAUACAUUUUGGUCAUUUAUCUUUAAUAGACCCUCUUCUCCAGAGCCAGUGCAUUCAACUAAGGUAGGUAAGGCAACCACGCUAUCCACAGAUUAGUCGUUCCAGGUACAUCUAGAGGUGUGAGUGUUGAGCAGAUAUCAUGGCAUGUGACAUUUCCACCGGACCAAAGACAAUACAAUGAAGUUCAAACUAUGGCAUUUAUUUCAAACAGAGGCUUCUUUUUUUUGCUUACAUUUGUACAAUAAAUUACACAUGAAUGAAUGCCCAUUUUCUGAUGGGCCUAAUAAAUACUAUAGAGCUUUUUAUAAGCUUUAUCACACUCUCUAUGUCCCAGACCAUUCCAUAGAGGUCCAUAAAACUGUACAGGGCAUGUACAGGUUGGAAAAUACCAUAGCCAUCUUUUCAAAACCACUAAACCCAAUGAGCAAAAUCGGUUGAAAAUAUAUCAACCAAAAAUAUGUAUUUUCAACAUCUUGUGCUCAUAGGGAAUGCUUCUGAUACAAGCACAAGCUAACGUGAAAACAAAAACAAAUGAACAAGCCAAGACAAGAGUACAAAGCAAAUAACCAGUCUAGGAAAAAAAAAAAAAAACUAUCUGAAAACCUCAGAACAACAAGUAAACAAAACAACAAAUGAAACCAAAUAAACUUUGUAUGCAUCCCAAAUGGCACCCUAUUCCCUAUAUAGUGCACUACUUUAGACCAGAGCCCAUAGGGUUCCAUUUGGGCCAGAAUGAGAAACGAACUGGGAAAAAAACAACAUACAUGCUUUGACCCUCCUAACUAUGUACACUAACGAAACUACGAGUUAAAAACAGUCCAACUGCCUGUACAGAAAAGUACAUGUUAUCAUUAUGAACAGUGCAAGAUUAUUAAAUAGCUUGACUCAAAACACUCUUCUUCUCAAUAUACAAAAUGUAUAACAAAAGGCAUACAAUUACAUACAAGUGCCAAACAACAGACAUAGCUUCAGGUAUCAUACAGUUGGGAUCUAUACCCGGACUAUUUGCACUGCCCCCCCCCCCCCCCACCCCAUCUAAAAUUUGAUUUGAUCUAUACAAACUAAUGCGGCCCAAAUGGCACCCUAUUCCCUAUAGAGUGCACUACUUUAGACCAGGGCCCACGGGGAAUCCCAUUGGGUUGUUGUGCACUAUCAAGGCAAUAGGGUGCUUUUUUUUCUCCAGAUGCAACCAAAGGGAGGAAAAACACUGGAGUCUGAAAUAACGGUUGUAUACACAUACGGCUCUUCAUUUUGUCAUUAAUGCACGUCUACAAUAUUGUUUCCACCAUGAUCCUGGUCAGAUUAUAGAGAACAGAACCAAAACAUGAUUAUUUGUUGGUAGGGGUGAGGUGGGGGGGUGAAGGGUUGAUUAAAACAACAUGAUUAUUUGUUGGUAGGGGUGAGGUGGGGGGUGAAGAGUUGAUUAAAAUAACAUUAUUUGUUGGUGGAAGGGGUGAGGGGGUGAAGAGUUGAUUAAAACAACAUUAUUUGUUGGUGGUAGGGGUGAGGGGGUGAAGAGUUGAUUAAAACAACAUUAUUUGUUGGUGGUAGGGGUGAGGGGGUGAAGAGUUGAUUAAAACAACAUUAUUUGUUGGUGGUAGGGGUGAGGGGGGUGAAGAGUUGAUUAAAACAAGAGGACUGGUGAGGACUUGGAAAUACCAUCAAUGAUCAAUUUAACUUUACUGUCAAGUGUAUUUCACUUUAUAUUUUCUAUAGAAUAAUCUUGGAACAAUCAAUUACAAAUCUGGGACUCAUUCUUUUUAGAUUUCUAAAUGUCUUCUACAGCAAAAUGCUGAAUCUGUAUAAACUCCUAUAAUCUGUAGGGGUGAGAUUUGAUGAGAACACAGGACUGAUGAGGGGUUGGAAACACCAUCAAUGACCGUUAUAGGUCUCAGUAUAUUUCUCUUGGGAUAAUCAAUUACAAACUUGGGAAUUACACUGAACAAAAAUA